UUUCCGGUUGAUCCCGCCGCCGGCCACCGCUAUCAAGUUCCGACUAAGCCAUGCGAGUCAAGGUAUCGUAAGAUGCCGGCAAACUGCUCAGUAACACGUGGAUAAUCUAACCUUGAGUAAGGGAUAACCUCGGGAAACUGAGGAUAAUACCUUAUAAUUGCUUAAAACUGGAAUGUUUAAGCAAUAAAAGUUCCGACGCUCAAGGAUGAGUCUGCGACCUAUCAGGUAGUAGGUGGUGUAAUGGACCACCUAGCCUCAGACGGGUACGGGCCCUGGGAGGGGUAGCCCGGAGAUGGACUCUGAGACAUCAGUCCAGGCCCUACGGGGCGCAGCAGGCGCGAACACUGUGCAAUGCGCGAAAGCGCGACACGGGGAGCUUGAGUGUCUUGGCAUAGCCAAGACUUUUCUCAUUCCUAAAAAGCAUGAGGAAUAAGUGCUGGGUAAGACGGGUGCCAGCCGCCGCGGUAACACCCGCAGCACAAGUGGUGGUCACUUUUAUUGAGCCUAAAGCGUUCGUAGCCGGUUUUGUAAAUCUUUAGAUAAAGCCUGAAGCUUAACUCCAGAAAGUCUGAAGAGACUGCAAGACUUGAGAUCGGGUGAGGUUAAACGUACUUUCAGGGUAGGGGUAAAAUCCUGUAAUCCCGGAAGGACGACCAGUGGCGAAAGCGUUUAACUAGAACGAAUCUGACGGUAAGGAACGAAGGCUAGGGUAGCAAACCGGAUUAGAUACCCGGGUAGUCCUAGCUGUAAACACUGCCCAUUUGAUGUUGCUUUUCCGUUGAGGGAAGGCAGUGUCGGAGCGAAGGUGUUAAAUGGGCCGCUUGGGAAGUAUGGUCGCAAGACUGAAACUUAAAGGAAUUGGCGGGGGAGCACCGCAACGGGGGGAAUGUGCGGUUUAAUUGGAUUCACCGCCGGA
rnacentral:rRNA from 1 species